AGCCAACUGAUGUAAACCAGAAAAUCACAUUAUCUGGGAAGCAAUAUCUGGACAUUAAUAUAAUGGAAGGUAUUAUUCAAGUUGGAGAGAGAGAGACAGG